CCCCAGGGUGUUAAGAGGAAAAUGGUAGGUUUGGGAAUGAAAAAUGAAAGAUCUACCUUUCAUUUUAUGGCUGGAUUAACCCAGGUGAGCUAUGUGUUUGUGAGCUCUACACCCACGGUGGGGCUCAAACUCAUGAUUUCAAGAUCAAGAGUGGCAUGUUCUCUACUAACGGAACCAGUCAGAUGCCUCUCAGUGACUAUAUUUUUAUUCCGCUCCAUAUCACCCUUCUUAAUGCAAAUGUACAGAGAAUGAAUGCAAGUGUUUCCCCCUGUCUUAGGGUGAAAUCAAAACAAACAUAGGUUUAUUUAUCACUUUUUCUAAUUUAAAAAUUACAUAAGCAAAACCCAUAAGAACACUAACUAUAGAUAUAGUAGAAAAUGAGGUAAAUUAAAUUAUCUUCAAGUUCACAUCUUUGGUGUAUAUCCACUUGUGUCUCUGUGUAUACUCAAAUAUAUACAUACGCUUAAGUAUAUAUUUAAUUAAAUUAAUUAAUUAACUUAUUUAUUUGAGAGAGAGGGGGCGAGCAUGAGAGGGGAGAAGGUCAGAGGGAAAAGCAGACUCCCCAUGGAGCUGGGUGCCAGAUAGGACUCGAUCCGAGGGCUCUGGGAUCAUGACCUGAGCCAAAGACAGUCGUUUAACCAACUGAGCCACCCAGGUGCCUGAUAAGUAUAUAUUUUAAAAAGCAAUUACAUGAUUAUAUUAUACAAACUUUUUUUUUUUUUUUUUUUACUUAUUUAUUUGACAGACAUCAAGAAAGAGGGAACACAAGCAGGGAGGAGUGGGGGAGGGAGAAGCAGGCUUCCCAUUGAGCAGGGAGCCCUUUGUGGGCUUCAAUCCCAGGAAUCUGGAUCUUGACCUGAGCGGAAGGCAGAUGCUUAACAAUUGAGCCACCCAGAUGCCUCUAUUAUACAAACUUUUAAAGCAUGAUUUUCUCCCUGGAAUAUAUUCAGAUAUAUGAAAAAAUUGGUUCUUUUAAAAUAAUGUAUACCUAUUGUAAAAUAUCUAAAUGGUAAAGAAGAUGUAAAAAGAAAAUCAGCUGUCUAUUAUAUAGACAUAACAUUAUUUAUUUAAGAGUUACCCUAUUAUGGUUAUUUAAGCAAAUUUUCUCAUUUUCUACAGUCACAAAUAAUGCAGAAAAUAUCUUGCAUAUAUUAAAUAAUUUCUUGAGCUUCUAAUUCUCCAGUAAAGGAUGGUCUAAUCCUUCCCUUGCUUUCUCAUUUUUAGUACUACUUCUGUACCAUGCCUCUCAAGUUCCACAUAUAUACAAAAAUGUCAAAAAUGAUUGACAAAUGAAACAUAACAAAACAUCUAACAUGUAGCAAGAAGCAAGCAUUUGAUGCCAAGUUAUCUGUGUGUGGGAGAACAAGUUAAUAUUUCAAAAGGGGGAAAAUACAGGGCGCCUGGGUGGCUCAUGUCAUGAUCCCAGAGUCCCUGGAUUGAAUCCUUGGAUUGACUCCCGCAUGGGGCUCCCAGCUCCAUGGGGAGUCUGCUUCUCCCUCUGACCUCCCCUCUCUUGCCCUCUCUCACUCUCUCUCAAAUAAAUAAAUAAAUAAAUAAUUUUUUUUUUAAAGGAAGGGAUACAGCUUAAAUUGGGAUAGUGGAAGGAUGGAGAGAAAGAAAAGACUCAACUGGGCUUCAUUUCCUAUAAAUUUAAGGAUUUUUUUUUCAUAUAUAUAUAUAUAUAUAUGUUUGUGAUCUAGAUAGAUCAAUCAAUCACAAACAACCAAUUGACCUUUCUGCUUUCUAUUUAUGUAAAGGAAAUCCAUCUAUUUUCUUUUUUAUUUGAGUAUAGUUGCCCACAAUGUUACAUUAGUUUCAGGUAUACAACUGUAGUGAUUGGACAAGUUUAUCCAUUAUGCUACAUUCAUCAUACAUCUCUAUUACAACAAGUUUAAGGAUGUUUUUUAAAUUCUGACAGUUCAUGACAAUGGAAUAGAAGUUGAGUUGGGACUUUGGAGUUACUUGGAUUUGUUAGUUUAAGUCCUGGUUUUGCUACUUACUAAUCAUGUGAAUGUAGACACAGUCAUAAUCUCUAAGUCCGUUUUCUCAUCUGUAAAUGGUACUUUCGGGUACCAUAAUGGUACUUUAUGGGAUUGCUAGAAGAAUUAAAUGGGGUAACACAUGCAGAGUUCUUAGCUCAAUGCCUGGCACACUGUAAAUAUAAUGCAAUUUUAUACAAGGGUAACUUAAACAGUAUCAUACAUUUAGCCAGAAGAUAAAAGACUUUACUAUCUAAAUGUGAAAUGUAGUCAUCAAGUUGUAAUCCAGAAUACGCAGUCUUUUCUUUUGAGCAAUGCAAAUAUUUCAUGGAUGAUAUUUUUUGCUUUCAUAUUAUUUUAUGUGAUAUAAAUUAGAAUAGUUUGAGAAAAGUUUAGACAGGUCAGAGGGUGAAAUAUGUAAGAGUUUCUAGAGGAAUAAUAUGACUGAAGGAGGAAAAGUUAGAGGUGGGCUCCCGGGUGGCAUAUUCUGUCGUCAAGUGAACUGAACGAGAAGUCAUGUUUUGCAUCCUUUGUAUACUGUACAGUUUAAAAAGCAUUUUCAGGGGCGCCUGGGUGGCUCAGUGGGUUGAGCCGCUGCCUUCGGCUCAGGUCAUGAUCUCAGGGUCCUGGGAUCGAGUCCCACAUCGGGCUCUCUGCUCAGCGGGGAAN
ensembl:lincRNA